rnacentral:rRNA from 1 species
GACGAACGCUGGCGGCGUGCCUAAUACAUGCAAGUCGAGCGCAGGAAACUGACGGAACUCUUCGGAGGGAAGGCAGUGGAAUGAGCGGCGGACGGGUGAGUAACACGUAAGGAACCUGCCUCAAGGAUUGGGAUAACUCCGAGAAAUCGGAGCUAAUACCGGAUAGUUCAACGGACCGCAUGGUCCGCCGAUGAAAGGCGCUCCGGCGUCACCUUGAGAUGGCCUUGCGGUGCAUUAGCUAGUUGGUGGGGUAACGGCCCACCAAGGCGACGGUGCAUAGCCGACCUGAGAGGGUGAUCGGCCACACUGGGACUGAGACACGGCCCAGACUCCUACGGGAGGCAGCAGUAGGGAAUCUUCCACAAUGGACGAAAGUCUGAUGGAGCAACGCCGCGUGAGUGAUGAAGGUUUUCGGAUCGUAAAACUCUGUUGUAAGGGAAGAACACGUACGAGAGGAAAUGCUCGUACCUUGACGGUACCUUACGAGAAAGCCACGGCUAACUACGUGCCAGCCGCCGCGGUAACAC